rnacentral:rRNA from 1 species
AUACGGAGGGUGCAAGCGUUAUUCGGAAUCACUGGGUUUAAAGGGUGCGUAGGCGGCCAUAUUAGUCAGUAGUGAAAGGUUGCAGCUUAACUGUAAGACUGCUAUUGAAACUGUAUGGCUUGAAUUAGGAUGAGGUAGGCGGAAUGUGACAUGUAGCGGUGAAAUGCUUAGAUAUGUCAUAGAACACCGAUUGCGUAGGCAGCUUACUAGACCUAUCUUGACGCUGAGGCACGAAAGCGUGGGGAGCGAACAGGAUUAGAAACCCCUGUAGUCC